rnacentral:tRNA from 1 species
UCCCCCGUAGCUCUGUAGGAAGAGCGCCACCUUAACAGGGUGGAGGUCUUGAGUUCGAGCUUCUCUGGGGUCA